rnacentral:rRNA from 1 species
CACCUUACUACUUGGAUAACCGUGGUAAUUCUAGAGCUAAUACAUGCUAAAAAUCCCGACUUCGGAAGGGAUGUAUUUAUUAGAUACAAAACCAAUGCCCUUCGGGGCUCUCUGGUGAUUCAUGAUAACUUCGCGAAUCGCACGGCCUUGUGCCGGCGAUGGUUCAUUCAAAUUUCUUCCCUAUCAACUUUCGAUGUUUGGAUAUGGGCCAAACAUGGUUGCAACGGGUAACGGAGGGUUAGGGCUCGACCCCGGAGAAGGAGCCUGAGAAACGGCUACUACAUCCAAGGAAGGCAGCAGGCGCGCAAAUUACCCAAUCCCGACUCGGGGAGGUAGUGACAAUAAAUACUGAUACAGGGCUCUAUUGGGUCUUGUAAUUGGAAUGAGUACAAUUUAAAUCCCUUAACGAGGAACAAUUGGAGGGCAAGUCUGGUGCCAGCAGCCGCGGUAAUUCCAGCUCCAAUAGCGUAUAUUAAAGUUGUUGUGGUUAAAAAGCUCGUAGUUGAACCUUGGGCCUGGCUGGCCGGUCCGCCUCACCGCGUGCACUGGUCCGGCCGGGCCUUUCCCUCUGUGGAACCCCAUGCCCUUCACUGGGUGUGGCGGGGAAACAGGACUUUUACUUUGAAAAAAUUAGAGUGCUCCAGGCAGGCCUAUGCUCGAAUACAUUAGCAUGGAAUAAUAAAAUAGGACGUGCGGUUCUAUUUUGUUGGUUUCUAGGACCGCCGUAAUGAUUAAUAGGGACAGUCGGGGGCAUCAGUAUUCAGUUGUCAGAGGUGAAAUUCUUAGAUCUACUGAAGACUAACUACUGCGAAAGCAUUUGCCAAGGAUGUUUUCAUUAAUCAGGAACGAAAGUUAGGGGAUCGAAGACGAUCAGAUACCGUCGUAGUCUUAACCAUAAACUAUGCCGACUAGGGAUCGGACGAUGUUAUUCUUUGACUCGUUCGGCACCUUACGAGAAAUCAAAGUGCUGG